UACGGGGGGGGCAAGCGUUGUUCGGAAUUACUGGGCGUAAAGGGCUCGUAGGUGGCCAACUGAGUCAGCCGUGAAAUCCCUCGGCUUAACCGGGGAACUGCGUCUGAUACUGGAUGGCUUGAGUUCGGGAGAGGGAUGCGGAAUUCCAGGUGUAGCGGUGAAAUGCGUAGAUAUCUGGAGGAACACCGGUGGCGAAGGCGGCAUCCUGGACCGACACUGACGCUGAGGAGCGAAAGCCAGGGGAGCAAACGGG
rnacentral:rRNA from 1 species